UUAAUCGAAACCAAAAUAGCGGUAUAUUACUGUUAAUAAUAUAAUUGAAUAUUUAUAUUCCGAUUAAG
rnacentral:tRNA from 1 species